CAGCGGCAGCAGAAACGGAAGGGCUGGGACCCCCGAAACCCUCUGCGCAAUAUGAUCGCUCCUCACGGGAGGGGGAAGCCUCAACGAAGAGCCAGCGGCCCAAAAAGAGGAGCACUUUCCGAGCUCAUCGGUACCCGGCCCCUCUGUACCGGGCGCAGUUGCAGGUGGUGCUUCCCGUAUAUGAAUUUCUGGGAAUACGGUCUGUGUUGGCCAUAUAAGGAUGUCUCUCUGAGCCAUAUGUUCUGCUGUCAUCUGUCUCAUUUUGUCUGUCUGGGAUGUCAGGACUGAUUUCCACAUCGUUUCUUGAAUGGGCCAGAUACAAAUUGGCAUGGCACUCAGCAGGACUGAAGUGUCCACUGUCCAUGGCCUGGAGUUGGUGCAGGGCCCCUAGCUGCCGUGUGGCGCCCCCAGGAAGCCCACGGGAUUUUAAUUCCAGCGAAGUCGAACAGAAACCAUUCUCAGCCAGCCUUCACUCAAGA